rnacentral:ncRNA from 1 species
GUAGAUAGAGGUUGCGUAUUUUAUCAGUACUGAUCCUGAUGCGACAGGCGCAAAUGAUGGAUCCGGAAAGGACAAUACGCCGAAGGAUGAAUCUUCCUGCGGGAUUUGUACCUGGGCAUACAGUUAAGAGCUGUAUGACUGUCAUCGUAAGAUGGGGAGCUAUCGU